AACGAACGCUGGCGGCAGGCCUAACACAAGCAAGUCGAACGCUGCAGCAAUGCAGAGUGGCAGACGGGUGAGUAACACGUGGGAAUCUUCCUAUCGGUACGGAAUAGCUCAGGGAAACUUGGGGUAAUACCGUAUACGCCCUUUGGGGGAAAGAUUUAUCGCCGAUAGAUGAGCCCGCGUCUGAUUAGCUAGUUGGUGAGGUAAUGGCUCACCAAGGCGACGAUCAGUAGCUGGUCUGAGAGGAUGACCAGCCACACUGGGACUGAGACACGGCCCAGACUCCUACGGGAGGCAGCAGUGGGGAAUAUUGGACAAUGGGCGCAAGCCUGAUCCAGCCAUGCCGCGUGAGUGACGAAGGUCUUCGGAUUGUAAAGCUCUUUUGGCGGGGACGAUAAUGACGGUACCCGCAGAAUAAGCCCCGGCUAACUUCGUGCCAGCCGCCGCGGUAA
rnacentral:rRNA from 1 species